GUGCCAGCAGCCGCGGUAAUACCGGCAGCCCGAGUGAUGGCCGAUAUUAUUGGGCCUAAAGCGUCCGUAGCUGGCCGGACAAGUCCGUUGGGAAAUCUGUUCGCUUAACGAGCAGGCGUCCAGCGGAAACUGUUCGGCUUGGGACCGGAAGACCUGAGGGGUACGUCCGGGGUAGGAGUGAAAUCCUGUAAUCCUGGACGGACCACCGGUGGCGAAAGCGCCUCAGGAGGACGGAUCCGACAGUGAGGGACGAAAGCUAGGGUCUCG
rnacentral:rRNA from 1 species